rnacentral:rRNA from 1 species
AAUUGGAGGGCAAGUCUGGUGCCAGCAGCCGCGGUAAUUCCAGCUCCAAUAGCGUAUAUUAAAGUUGUUGCAGUUAAAAAGCUCGUAGUUGAAUUUCGGGAUCAAUAUUUCGGUCAUGCCGUUGGUAUGCACUGUUAUCAUUGAUUUCUCACCUUCUAAAGAACCGUAAUGCCAUUAAUUUGGUGUUACGGGGAAUUAGGACUGUUACCUUGAAAAAAUUAGAGUGUUUAAAGCAGGCUCACGCUUGAAUACAUUAGCAUGGAAUAAUGAAAUAGGACAUCCGAUUCUAUUUUGUUGGUUUCUAGGAUCGAUGUAAUGAUUAAUAGGGAUAGUUGGGGGCAUUAGUAUUCAAUUGUCAGAGGCGAAAUUCUUGGAUUUAUUGAAGACUAACUACUGCGAAAGCAUUUGCCAAGGAUGUUUUCAUUAAUCAAGAACGAAAGUUAGGGGAUCGAAGACGAUCAGAUACCGUCGUAGUCUUAACCAUAAACUAUGCCGACUAGGGAUCGGAUGAUGUUAAUUUUUUAAUGACUCAUUCGGCGCCUUACGGGAAACCAAAGUGU